rnacentral:rRNA from 1 species
UACGAAGGGGGGCUAGCGUUGUUCGGAAUUACUGGGCGUAAAGCGCACGUAGGCGGGUGGUUAAGUCAGGGGUGAAAUCCCGGAGCUCAACUCCGGAACUGCCUUUGAUACUGGCCAUCUAGAGAUCGGAAGAGGUGAGUGGAAUUCCCAGUGUAGAGGUGAAAAUUCGUAGAUAUUGGGAAGAAACACCAGUGGCGAAGGCGGCUCACUGGUCCGAUACUGACGCUGAGGUGCGAAAAGCGUGGGGAGCAAACAGG